GGAAGGGGCUAGCGUUGUUCGGAAUUACUGGGCGUAAAGCGCGCGUAGGCGGCUCGUCAAGUGAGGCGUGAAAGUCCUGGGCUCAACCUGGGGACGGCGCUUCAGACUGUCGGGCUAGAGUCCGGAAGAGGGUGGUGGAAUUCCGAGUGUAGAGGUGAAAUUCGUAGAUAUUCGGAGGAACACCGGUGGCGAAGGCGGCCACCUGGUCCGGUACUGACGCUCAAGUGCGAAAGCGUGCGGAGCAAACAGGAUUAGAUACCCUGGUAGUCCACGCUGUAAACGAUGGGUGCUAGAUGUCGGGGGGCUUGCUCUUCGGUGUCGUAGCUAACGCGUUAAGCACCCCGCCUGGGGAGUACGGCCGCAAGGUUA
rnacentral:rRNA from 1 species